ACCACAUCACAUUAAGACACCAGUUCUCAUAUGAUCAUCAAAGUUAAGCAAUGUCAAGCCUGGUCAGUACCUAGAUUGAUGACCACUUGGGAAUACCAAAUGCUGCAAG
rnacentral:rRNA from 1 species